rnacentral:rRNA from 1 species
GGUUAAGCGACUAAGCGUACACGGUGGAUGCCCUGGCAGUCAGAGGCGAUGAAGGACGUGCUAAUCUGCGAUAAGCGUCGGUAAGGUGAUAUGAACCGUUAUAACCGGCGAUUUCCGAAUGGGGAAACCCAGUGUGAUUCGUCACACUAUCAUUAACUGAAUCCAUAGGUUAAUGAGGCGAACCGGGGGAACUGAAACAUCUAAGUACCCCGAGGAAAAGAAAUCAACCGAGAUUCCCCCAGUAGCGGCGAGCGAACGGGGAGCAGCCCAGAGCCUGAAUCAGUGUGUGUGUUAGUGGAAGCGUCUGGAAAGGCGCGCGAUACAGGGUGACAGCCCCGUACACAAAAAUGCACAUGCUGUGAGCUCGAUGAGUAGGGCGGGACACGUGGUAUCCUGUCUGAAUAUGGGGGGACCAUCCUCCAAGGCUAAAUACUCCUGACUGACCGAUAGUGAACCAGUACCGUGAGGGAAAGGCGAAAAGAACCCCGGCGAGGGGAGUGAAAAAGAACCUGAAACCGUGUACGUACAAGCAGUGGGAGCACGCUUAGGCGUGUGACUGCGUACCUUUUGUAUAAUGGGUCAGCGACUUAUAUUCUGUAGCAAGGUUAACCGAAUAGGGGAGCCGAAGGGAAACCGAGUCUUAACUGGGCGUUAAGUUGCAGGGUAUAGACCCGAAACCCGGUGAUCUAGCCAUGGGCAGGUUGAAGGUUGGGUAACACUAACUGGAGGACCGAACCGACUAAUGUUGAAAAAUUAGCGGAUGACUUGUGGCUGGGGGUGAAAGGCCAAUCAAACCGGGAGAUAGCUGGUUCUCCCCGAAAGCUAUUUAGGUAGCGCCUCGUGAAUUCAUCUCCGGGGGUAGAGCACUGUUUCGGCAAGGGGGUCAUCCCGACUUACCAACCCGAUGCAAACUGCGAAUACCGGAGAAUGUUAUCACGGGAGACACACGGCGGGUGCUAACGUCCGUCGUGAAGAGGGAAACAACCCAGACCGCCAGCUAAGGUCCCAAAGUCAUGGUUAAGUGGGAAACGAUGUGGGAAGGCCCAGACAGCCAGGAUGUUGGCUUAGAAGCAGCCAUCAUUUAAAGAAAGCGUAAUAGCUCACUGGUCGAGUCGGCCUGCGCGGAAGAUGUAACGGGGCUAAACCAUGCACCGAAGCUGCGGCAGCGACGCUGAUGCGUUGUUGGGUAGGGGAGCGUUCUGUAAGCCUGCGAAGGUGUGCUGUGAGGCAUGCUGGAGGUAUCAGAAGUGCGAAUGCUGACAUAAGUAACGAUAAAGCGGGUGAAAAGCCCGCUCGCCGGAAGACCAAGGGUUCCUGUCCAACGUUAAUCGGGGCAGGGUGAGUCGACCCCUAAGGCGAGGCCGAAAGGCGUAGUCGAUGGGAAACAGGUUAAUAUUCCUGUACUUGGUGUUACUGCGAAGGGGGGACGGAGAAGGCUAUGUUGGCCGGGCGACGGUUGUCCCGGUUUAAGCGUGUAGGCUGGUUUUCCAGGCAAAUCCGGAAAAUCAAGGCUGAGGCGUGAUGACGAGGCACUACGGUGCUGAAGCAACAAAUGCCCUGCUUCCAGGAAAAGCCUCUAAGCAUCAGGUAACAUCAAAUCGUACCCCAAACCGACACAGGUGGUCAGGUAGAGAAUACCAAGGCGCUUGAGAGAACUCGGGUGAAGGAACUAGGCAAAAUGGUGCCGUAACUUCGGGAGAAGGCACGCUGAUAUGUAGGUGAAGCGACUUGCUCGUGGAGCUGAAAUCAGUCGAAGAUACCAGCUGGCUGCAACUGUUUAUUAAAAACACAGCACUGUGCAAACACGAAAGUGGACGUAUACGGUGUGACGCCUGCCCGGUGCCGGAAGGUUAAUUGAUGGGGUUAGCGCAAGCGAAGCUCUUGAUCGAAGCCCCGGUAAACGGCGGCCGUAACUAUAACGGUCCUAAGGUAGCGAAAUUCCUUGUCGGGUAAGUUCCGACCUGCACGAAUGGCGUAAUGAUGGCCAGGCUGUCUCCACCCGAGACUCAGUGAAAUUGAACUCGCUGUGAAGAUGCAGUGUACCCGCGGCAAGACGGAAAGACCCCGUGAACCUUUACUAUAGCUUGACACUGAACAUUGAGCCUUGAUGUGUAGGAUAGGUGGGAGGCUUUGAAGUGUGGACGCCAGUCUGCAUGGAGCCGACCUUGAAAUACCACCCUUUAAUGUUUGAUGUUCUAACGUUGACCCGUGAUCCGGGUUGCGGACAGUGUCUGGUGGGUAGUUUGACUGGGGCGGUCUCCUCCUAAAGAGUAACGGAGGAGCACGAAGGUUGGCUAAUCCUGGUCGGACAUCAGGAGGUUAGUGCAAUGGCAUAAGCCAGCUUGACUGCGAGCGUGACGGCGCGAGCAGGUGCGAAAGCAGGUCAUAGUGAUCCGGUGGUUCUGAAUGGAAGGGCCAUCGCUCAACGGAUAAAAGGUACUCCGGGGAUAACAGGCUGAUACCGCCCAAGAGUUCAUAUCGACGGCGGUGUUUGGCACCUCGAUGUCGGCUCAUCACAUCCUGGGGCUGAAGUAGGUCCCAAGGGUAUGGCUGUUCGCCAUUUAAAGUGGUACGCGAGCUGGGUUUAGAACGUCGUGAGACAGUUCGGUCCCUAUCUGCCGUGGGCGCUGGAGAACUGAGGGGGGCUGCUCCUAGUACGAGAGGACCGGAGUGGACGCAUCACUGGUGUUCGGGUUGUCAUGCCAAUGGCACUGCCCGGUAGCUAAAUGCGGAAGAGAUAAGUGCUGAAAGCAUCUAAGCACGAAACUUGCCCCGAGAUGAGUUCUCCCUGACUCCUUGAGAGUCCUGAAGGAACGUUGAAGACGACGACGUUGAUAGGCCGGGUGUGUAAGCGCAGCGAUGCGUUGAGCUAACCGGUACUAAUGAACCGUGAGG